CGCUCUAUACCCUUUGUGACAUACCUAACCGUUGCUUCGGCGGGCAGGGGAAGCCUCUCGCGGGCCUCCCCUCCCGGCGCCGGCCCCCACCACGGGGACGGGGCGCCCGCCGGAGGAAACCAAACUCUAUUUACACGACGUCUCUUCUGAGUGGCACAAGCAAAUAAUUAAAACUUUUAACAACGGAUCUCUUGGUUCUGGCAUCGAUGAAGAACGCAGCGAAAUGCGAUAAGUAAUGUGAAUUGCAGAAUUCAGUGAAUCAUCGAAUCUUUGAACGCACAUUGCGCUCGCCAGCAUUCUGGCGAGCAUGCCUGUUCGAGCGUCAUUUCAACCCUCAAGCACCGCUUGGUUUUGGGGCCCCACGGCACACGUGGGCCCUUAAAGGUAGUGGCGGACCCUCCCGGAGCCUCCUUUGCGUAGUAACUAACGUCUCGCACUGGGAUUCGGAGGGACUCUUGCCGUAAAACCCCCAAAUUUUUUACAGGUUGACCUCGGAUCAGGUAGGAAUACCCGCUGAACUUAAGCAUAUCAAUAAGCGGAGGAA
rnacentral:rRNA from 1 species